AAGGUAACGGCUUACCAAGGCGAUGAUGCAUAGCCGAGUUGAGAGACUGAUCGGCCACAAUGGAACUGAGACACGGUCCAUACUCCUACGGGAGGCAGCAGUAGGGAAUCUUCCACAAUGGGCGCAAGCCUGAUGGAGCAACACCGCGUGAGUGAAGAAGGGUUUCGGCUCGUAAAGCUCUGUUGUUGGAGAAGAACGUGCGUGAGAGUAACUGUUCAUGCAGUGACGGUAUCCAACCAGAAAGUCACGGCUAACUACGUGCCAGCAGCCGCGGUAAUACGUAGGUGGCAAGCGUUAUCCGGAUUUAUUGGGCGUAAAGCGAGCGCAGGCGGUUGCUUAGGUCUGGUGUGAAAGCCUUCGGCUUAACCGAAGAAGUGCAUCGGAAACCGGGCGACUUGAGUGCAGAAGAGGACAGUGGAACUCCAUGUGUAGCGGUGGAAUGCGUAGAUAUAUGGAAGAACACCAGUGGCGAAGGCGGCUGUCUGGUCUGCAACUGACGCUGAGGCUCGAAAGCAUGGGUAGAGAGCAGGAUUAGAUACCCUGGUAGUCCA
rnacentral:rRNA from 1 species